GACUUUGUAUUUGCAGGGGACAUUUGAUAGAGGUCAGGAGACUUUCUGAGGCACAGCAUGAAAUCUUUCUCAAUAGUCUGUCACUGCUUAGGCUGGAAAUUCUCUGACAACAUGAAUUUAUAGAUAUUCCUUAUCCGUGUCCUAUUGGAGUCACCAGGUCAGAAGGUUUAAUUGCUUGUAGAAAUCCUCCUGUGUAACUUCAUGGAUGGGAGCUGAUGAAGCUCGCUGUAGCAGCACCAGAGAUCAGCCAUUGUGAGCAGUAGUUUUUGCUAGUGAGUUAAACUGAAAAACUACAAGGGAGAGCAAAGGAAGAAAAUGAGGAAGAAGUGCCAAGCAAAUCUAACCAAUUUACACUUUGGAGGAAUGUUUAUUGCUUUUGAGAAAUAUUGUCAUCUGUAUUUGUUGCAUUGUUUCCAUGUCUGACAUGUUCCAUGACUGAGGAUGCUUCAAGAAAUUCAUAAUCGUUUUAUAGUAAAUGCCUUUCACUUCUUUCCCAAUGAAGGACAAAAUGCAAAGACCACUAAUUCUAGCACAAUUCGUACAUGCACAAUAAUUUCCCAGUUACAAAACAGUCUGAGGAAACAUGCCAAAACCUAACAAUACUGUGAAAUAUUAAACUUUUCAUUAUUUAUGGCAAUUAAUCAUAGUAACUAUACAGUCUUCUACUUGAUUCUUCUAAGUGUUUCUGUGAAGAUUUAGUGUGGGAGGCAGCAGCAAACAAAGUGCAUAGCUGCAAUUAAUCUAAAGAAUGAAGUCAUCCUGCGAUGUCCUCAUGAGGCAACAAUUCUACAAAUGCUGAUGGUGUAAGGAGUCUAUCUGGAACUCUCUGGUCCUUUCCAAGGGUUAGACUUAUCAUCGCAUGGCCUGCAAAGGUAUAAAUCUCGUGUUUGAAAUCACUUGCUCAUAAAUUCCAGUAUUGGUUAUUCAAAAAGUCUGGUUGGAAACCAUUUGGAUCAAUUUUGAGGCACUAUCCAAUAUCCAGACAGCAAGAUCCAAAAGACAUGAACCUUACAAGAACUGUAAACAAUUAUCCCCAGUAUAAAUGAGAAUUCAAACAAAAGCAAAAAUUGCUGGAAAAUGUCAGCAGGUCUGGCAACAUCAGUGGAGAGAAAGCAGAGUUAACAUUUGGAGUCCACUAGCCAUUCUUCAGAAUGAGAAUAUCUUGAACUAACAGUGACACACUUGAUUGGAUUGUGAUGGACCAGAAACUAGUUCACACCAGUAUACGGUUCGGAGACAGAAUGGGGAAGAACUCUAUCAUGAUGAUGAUUGUGACACUGAUUGUGACAAUGUUGAGUGACAAUCUCUCCAAGGUGGUAUAUGAAUUUGCCAAAUCUCCAAAAUGUUAAAUUGAAAUUUGAAAUAUUGGUUUUGUAAACUCUGUUUUAUGUAUCUGUAUGAUUAUCAAAGUAACAAUUGUGCACAUGUACAAACCAUGUAUUUUUUGUAAAAAAGAGGAAGUUGUGUUCUCGGUGUUAUAGUCAGUAUGCCAUAAUGCCUUUAAGAGAGUUGCUCAAGCUAUCAUCACUGUAUCACAGUAUGAAACCUGAAAGUCUUGAGGUCUUUGUGAUCUACCUUUUCUCUGGUCACUUGAAGCAUACAGCUCCAUUGGAGGCAUGUGUUCUAUUGAAACAUAGUUAAUUGUAACAAAUGUCUCUUGAAAUCUUCAAUGCUAUAAUAUCCAUAUACCGUUUCUAUGCUAUAAGCGAUAAUGAAAGAAUUGCCACAUCAGAUAAAACACUGUUGGAGGCAAUCUCACACCAGAGAGGGGCGGUGCUGCUUGAAAAGGCUAAGGAAAACGUUGCAAAUUACGCCCCGGAAUCCUGAGGACACGGACCUUCAUGUUUUGCAUCUUGCACAACCUCAUCUCCUUGUUCUUGGAGUAACUUAUCAUUGCCUUUCAAUUUUCAAAAGCUUUGGAUGAUGACACAUAAUAUGCUGAAUAAAAGUUUAUUGAAUUGGU